AAAAGUGAAAAAGAUUUAAAUUUUCAUUACAAAGUGUUAUCAAACAGUUGUCUAAUUAAAGAUUAUAAGUAAUGGAUCACAUAGAACACAAAGUUUGGCUCAAGAAACCAAUAAAUUAGUGAAGUGUUAUGAAUUUUAGGUUGGAAUUUUCCACUGAAAAAAUCAUGAAAUGCUGCGGUAAAUCUACAAAACUACAAUAAAGAUUAACAACUGCUGAUACAUUUAAACGUAAAUUAUGCCAAAAGGUAGGCUUUUCAAUGUCUUUGUAAUAAUUUUCCAAUAAAGAAAGUGAACCAAACAGUCAUUCGUUAUUCGUGUUUUCCUCGUCAUCUCUCAUUUGUCAACAUAAGUUUCUUGCAUCAAAGAUGCAAUAAUCAUUCCGCAUAGGCAAUGUAAUAAUUGUGAAGCCCCAAAAUUCGUACAACGCUCAAAAUAUCCGAAUAAACAUUUUCCCGCCAUUUAUGGUUACUGUUUUCAACCUAGCUCAGUGGCGCCCCCAACGGUAAUUUUACUUCCGAAUAGUGGCGGUCAGCUCGAUUUGCGUGUGCGUCAUCAAUUUCAUUUUUUCAUUACCAACACAAAGCUAUAAAAAAUUAUCAAAAACAAUGCAAAUUUAAACAGCUAAGGGCUAUCUAAGGGUGGUAUCCUUGAACAUUAAUUUACAUGUGCACUUCGACAACACCGUCAAGUGUCACGAAUUUGUCAACCUGACAUUGACAGUAAAUUAUAGACGUCGUCGCAUGGUUGUCGAAAGUGUUAUCGGUGUUAAUCGCAAGUAUUUUCCGUUCGUUUAUUGUGUUUUGUGAUUUGCGUUUCGUUAGGUUUUUGAUUCUGCGUUUAUGUUUUGUGAAUCUGUAUUUUUUGUAACAACCCAUAAUUUAAACACUUCGUAACCUCAAAAAAUAUCUGAUAGUUUGUCACCGCUAUGCCCCUGCUAUGUAAACGUCAGGGUUAGUCAAGCGGCAUAGGAGAAACGGUUUAUUAAAUCAUACUAUCAACAUGCGGCGCCACGUGCGUUAUCUAUGCAGAUUUCUGUAAAUUUGGGGUACGUGGCACGGUCGUUAAUAGAAACUACUUAUGCCAUCUUUUGGUAGUGUGAUUUCAAAUUAAAUUCACGAAUUUAUCCAAAAAUCCAAAAUAUUAAGCAACCUUUGGCGCGCAAUGUCACACUACAUUCAACGGUGUCAAAAAGUUUUUUCAAUUUUAAAUGUUUCAAUUUCCAAUUUGAAUUAUUCUGCUACGUGUUGUGUUCGUGGUUUUCUCUUUUUAUUCUUAUUUGAAUUCGUUUGUUGGUGUUAUCUACUCCUAAAGUAAUCUCAAAAACAUUUAAGUUUUGAACUUUCGAAGGCUAAAUUUUGCUCUGGUGUGGACCUAUUAUACAACCUACAACGUUUAUUAAACAACUUCUGGCUGGCUGGAACACAUGAUUCUGGAAACAGUGCAUCUCUUUACUUGUGAGAGCUAUCCAGAAACAAAUCGACUUGGGCACCAAAAAUAACUUCGAGAAUUUAAACCAAAUUUCAUUUUUUGAGUGGACAUCUAUGAUGGACACCGUUUAAGACUUCUACCUUGCACAUAGUGUCUUUUAUUUAAUACACGCGUUCAUUCAUUCAUUUGUACAAAAACCACAAAAACGUAUCUUGAACUCCCUCCUUUUUACCGUUAAGUUUCAAGACUGGUGAAUCCACCAAAGUGGAGUCCUUACAUUAAAAUCAGAAAAACCUUUUACUCAUAAUAAGUUCAUAUAAGUAAAUUUGUUGUAAAGUCAUCUAUGUGAGUCUACAACCAACACGAAAACAUACAAGAAAUGUUUGCACAAACUAUUAAAAGCACUACUUUUCUGUGGAAAUUGAAUUGGGCACAUGUCUAAAACUCCAAUGGUACCUUAUUAGAGUCCGUAUUUACAUAUUUAGUUCUUUAAUUUUUUUCCAAGUUUCAAAAUAAUGUUAAAUAACCGGUUUUUGAGGGUGAGGAAGUCGCCAAAUUAAUAUGUGGAAGCCAAACACGACAUUUAUUUCUUAUAAUUGAUGUUUUCAUAAUUUGUGAAACGUUAAUUCAUUAAUAAAUUAUUUUCAUUCAA